AAUGGCUGCAGUAAUUUGACUGUGCAAAGGUAGCAUCAUAAUUAGUCUUUUAAUUGAGGACUAGAAUGAAUGGAAUAAUGAGAUAUUAAUUAUGUUAAUUAUAUUAUUUUAAUUUAAUUUUUAAGUAAAAAAGCUUAAUUUUAUUUUCGGGACGAUAAGACCCUAUAGAACUUUAAUUUUUUUUUUUUUAAUUUUUAUUUAGAAAAUUAUUUUUUAUAAUAAUUCUUAAAAUUUUAAUUGGGGUGAUUAAUAAAUUUUAACUUUAUUUUUUUUUUUCAUUUAUAAGUGUUUAUUUUGAUCCAAUUCUUUUUUUUGAUUAAAAGAUAAAGUUACCUUAGGGAUAACAGCGUAAUUUUAAUGGGGAGUUCUUAUUUAUAAUAAAGUUUGCGACCUCGAUGUUGAAUUAAGAUUAAUAUAUGGGGUAG
rnacentral:rRNA from 1 species